GGGGUUGUGGCUCAGCAGUAGAGCGCUUGCCUUGCAUGUGUGAGGCACUGAGUUCAAUCCUCAGCACCA
rnacentral:tRNA from 1 species